rnacentral:rRNA from 1 species
UACGAAGGGGGCUAGCGUUGUUCGGAAUUACUGGGCGUAAAGGGCGCGUAGGCGGUGAUCUUUGUCAGAGGUGAAAGCCCGGGGCUCAACUCCGGAAUUGCCUUUGAAACGGGAUUGCUUGAGUCCGAGAGAGGAUGGCGGAAUUCCUAGUGUAGAGGUGAAAUUCGUAGAUAUUAGGAAGAACACCGGUGGCGAGGGCGGCCAUCUGGCUCGGUACUGACGCUGAUGCGCGAAAGCGUGGGGAGCAAACAGG